UCUGUCAGGGACCUCCAGGAAUAGGAAGCGGCGUGGCCGUGAAGGGUGAAAAGGGCUCCCCUGGUAUUCCAGGAGCUGCAGGUGUCCUGGGACCUAGAGGGCCAGCAGGACCACAGGGCAGUAAAGGGGAUAAGGGCGACGAUGGCACUGGACUGCCUGGACCUCAGGGAAAGCAAGGAGAGCCCGGUGACAGGGGCCCCCGUGGACCUGCAGGCGAGAUUGGCAGCAAGGGCGACAGAGGACAGCCAGGUGAACCUGGGACACGAGGAGACAGAGGGGAGCGAGGGCCUGUUGGGGAGACUGGAGAGAAAGGUGAUCAAGGAAAGGCAGGGAUCCCAGGAACACCAGGCCUGAGAGGUUUACCGGGACCAAGUGGACCAGCAGGAGAAAAGGUGAGAGAGAAAGCUUCU